GACGAACGCUGGCGGCGUGCCUAAUACAUGCAAGUCGAGCGAAUCGAUGGGAGCUUGCUCCCUGAGAUUAGCGGCGGACGGGUGAGUAACACGUGGGUAACCUGCCUGUAAGACUGGGAUAACUUCGGGAAACCGGAGCUAAUACCGGAUACUUUCUUUUCUCGCAUGAGGGAAGAUGGAAAGAUGGUUCUGCUAUCACUUACAGAUGGACCCGCGGCGCAUUAGCUAGUUGGUGAGGUAACGGCUCACCAAGGCGACGAUGCGUAGCCGACCUGAGAGGGUGAUCGGCCACACUGGGACUGAGACACGGCCCAGACUCCUACGGGAGGCAGCAGUAGGGAAUCUUCCGCAAUGGACGAAAGUCUGACGGAGCAACGCCGCGUGAGCGAAGAAGGCCUUCGGGUCGUAAAGCUCUGUUGUUAGGGAAGAACAAGUACGAGAGUAACUGCUCGUACCUUGACGGUACCUAACCAGAAAGCCACGGCUAACUACGUGCCAGCCGCCGCAGUAAGAC
rnacentral:rRNA from 1 species